rnacentral:rRNA from 1 species
UACGGAGGGGGCUAGCGUUGUUCGGAAUUACUGGGCGUAAAGCGCACGUAGGCGGAUUUGUAAGUCAGGGGUGAAAUCCCGGGGCUCAACCUCGGAACUGCCUUUGAUACUGCAAAUCUCGAGUCCGGAAGAGGUGAGUGGAAUUCCUAGUGUAGAGGUGAAAUUCGUAGAUAUUAGGAAGAACACCAGUGGCGAAGGCGGCUCACUGGUCCGGUACUGACGCUGAGGUGCGAAAGCGUGGGGAGCAAACAGGG